CGGGUGCACUGAUCCGGCCGGGCCUUUCCCUCUGUGGAACCCCAUGGCCUUCACUGGCUGUGCGGGGGAAACAGGACUUUUACUGUGAAAAAAUUAGAGUGCUCCAGGCAGGCCUAUGCUCGAAUACAUUAGCAUGGAAUAAUAGAAUAGGACGCGUGGUUCUAUUUUGUUGGUUUCUAGGACCGCCGUAAUGAUUAAUAGGGACAGUCGGGGGCAUCAGUAUUCAAUUGUCAGAGGUGAAAUUCUUGGAUCUAUUGAAGACUAACUACUGCGAAAGCAUUUGCCAAGGAUGUUUUCAUUGAUAAGGAACGAAAGUUAGGGGAUCGAAGACGAUCAGAUACCGUCGUAGUCUUAACUAUAAACUAUGCCGACUAGGGAUCGGACGAUGUUAUUUCUUGACGCGUUCGGCACCUUUCGAGAAAUCAAAGUGCUUGGGCUCCAGGGGGAGUAUGGUCGCAAGGCUGAAACUUAAAGAAAUUGACGGAAGGGCACCACCAGGGGUGGAACCUGCGGCUUAAUUUGACUCAACACGGGGAAACUCACCAGGUCCAGACACAGUGAGGAUUGACAGAUUGAGAGCUCUUUCUUGAUUCUGUGGGUGGUGGUGCAUGGGCCGUUCUUAGUUGGUGGAGUGAUUUGUCUGCUUAAUUGCGAUAACGAACGAGACCUUAACCUGCUAAAUAGCCCGUACUGCUCUGGCAGUUCGCCGGCUUCUUAGAGGGACUAUCGG
rnacentral:rRNA from 1 species